rnacentral:rRNA from 1 species
AGCUGGAUUCGCUAGUAAUCGCGCAUCAGCCACGGCGCGGUGAAUACGUUCCCGGGCCUUGUACACACCGCCCGUCAAGCCAUGGGAGCCGGGGGUACCUGAAGUACGUAACCGCAAGGAGCGUCCUAGGGUAAAACUGGUGACUGGGGCUAAGUCGUAACAAGGUACC